GUCAGCCCCAGGAAAGGCAGAAGCUCCAAGUUCGGCCCAUUGUGGGCCAAGGGAUCCUCCGCCUGGCAUCCCUGGGUAUUUUAGCUGUUUGAGCCUCUCCCCUCAGGCUCUGA